rnacentral:rRNA from 1 species
UUGGAGGGCAAGUCUGGUGCCAGCAGCCGCGGUAAUUCCAGCUCCAAUAGCGUAUAUUAAAGUUGUUGCAGUUAAAAAGCUCGUAGUUGAACCUUGGGUCUGGCUGGCAGGUCCGCCUCACCGCGUGUACUUGUCCGGCCGGGCCUUCCUUCUGGAGAACCUCAUGCCCUUCACUGGGCGUGUUGGGGACCAGGACUUUUACUUUGAAAAAAUUAGAGUGUUCAAAGCAGGCCUUUGCUCGAAUACGUUAGCAUGGAAUAAUAGAAUAGGACGUGCGGUCCUAUUUUGUUGGUUUCUU